rnacentral:rRNA from 1 species
CAGUCGAGCGAGCUUGCCUAGAUGAUUUUAGUGCUUGCACUAAAUGAAACUAGAUACAAGCGAGCGGCGGACGGGUGAGUAACACGUGGGUAACCUGCCCAAGAGACUGGGAUAACACCUGGAAACAGAUGCUAAUACCGGAUAACAACACUAGACGCAUGUCUAGAGUUUGAAAGAUGGUUCUGCUAUCACUCUUGGAUGGACCUGCGGUGCAUUAGCUAGUUGGUAAGGUAACGGCUUACCAAGGCAAUGAUGCAUAGCCGAGUUGAGAGACUGAUCGGCCACAUUGGGACUGAGACACGGCCCAAACUCCUACGGGAGGCAGCAGUAGGGAAUCUUCCACAAUGGACGAAAGUCUGAUGGAGCAACGCCGCGUGAGUGAAGAAGGGUUUCGGCUCGUAAAGCUCUGUUGGUAGUGAAGAAAGAUAGAGGUAGUAACUGGCCUUUAUUUGACGGUAAUUACUUAGAAAGUCACGGCUAACUACGUGCCAGCAGCCGCGGUAAUACGUAGGUGGCAAGCGUUGUCCGGAUUUAUUGGGCGUAAAGCGAGUGCAGGCGGUUCAAUAAGUCUGAUGUGAAAGCCUUCGGCUCAACCGGAGAAUUGCAUCAGAAACUGUUGAACUUGAGUGCAGAAGAGGAGAGUGGAACUCCAUGUGUAGCGGUGGAAUGCGUAGAUAUAUGGAAGAACACCAGUGGCGAAGGCGGCUCUCUGGUCUGCAACUGACGCUGAGGCUCGAAAGCAUGGGUAGCGAACAGGAUUAGAUACCCUGGUAGUCCAUGCCG